UACGUAGGGUGCAAGCGUUGUCCGGAAUUAUUGGGCGUAAAGAGCUCGUAGGCGGUCUGUCGCGUCGGCUGUGAAAACUCGGGGCUCAACCCCGAGCCUGCAGUCGAUACGGGCAGACUAGAGUGCUGUAGGGGAGACUGGAAUUCCUGGUGUAGCGGUGAAAUGCGCAGAUAUCAGGAGGAACACCGGUGGCGAAGGCGGGUCUCUGGGCAAUAACUGACGCUGAGGAGCGAAAGCGUGGGGAGCGAACAGG
rnacentral:rRNA from 1 species